rnacentral:rRNA from 1 species
GGUUGCGAUCAUACCAGCACUAAUGCACCGGAUCCCAUCAGAACUCCGUAGUUAAGCGUGCUUGGGCGAGAGUAGUACUAGGAUGGGUGACCCCCUGGGAAGUCCUCGUGUUGCAACCCCC